rnacentral:tRNA from 1 species
CGGGGUGUAGCGCAGUCUGGUAGCGCACCUGCUUUGGGAGCAGGGGGUCGGAGGUUCAAAUCCUCUCGCCCCGACCA